ACAUGCAAGUCGAACGAUGAUGCCCAGCUUGCUGGGUGGAUUAGUGGCGAACGGGUGAGUAACACGUGAGUAACCUGCCCCUGACUCUGGGAUAAGCGUUGGAAACGACGUCUAAUACUGGAUAUGAUCACUGGCCGCAUGGUCUGGUGGUGGAAAGAUUUUUUGGUUGGGGAUGGACUCGCGGCCUAUCAGCUUGUUGGUGAGGUAAUGGCUCACCAAGGCGACGACGGGUAGCCGGCCUGAGAGGGUGACCGGCCACACUGGGACUGAGACACGGCCCAGACUCCUACGGGAGGCAGCAGUGGGGAAUAUUGCACAAUGGGCGAAAGCCUGAUGCAGCAACGCCGCGUGAGGGAUGACGGCCUUCGGGUUGUAAACCUCUUUUAGUAGGGAAGAAGCGAAAGUGACGGUACCUGCAGAAAAAGCACCGGCUAACUACGUGCCAGCAGCCGCGGUAAUACGUAGGGUGCAAGCGUUGUCCGGAAUUAUUGGGCGUAAAGAGCUCGUAGGCGGUUUGUCGCGUCUGCUGUGAAAUCCCGAGGCUCAACCUCGGGCUUGCAGUGGGUACGGGCAGACUAGAGUGCGGUAGGGGAGAUUGGAAUUCCUGGUGUAGCGGUGGAAUGCGCAGAUAUCAGGAGGAACACCGAUGGCGAAGGCAGAUCUCUGGGCCGUAACUGACGCUGAGGAGCGAAAGCAUGGGGAGCGAACAGGAUUAGAUACCCUGGUAGUCCAUGCCGUAAACGUUGGGCGCUAGAUGUAGGGACCUUUCCACGGUUUCUGUGUCGUAGCUAACGCAUUAAGCGCCCCGCCUGGGGAGUACGGCCGCAAGGCUAAAACUCAAAGGAAUUGACGGGGGCCCGCACAAGCGGCGGAGCAUGCGGAUUAAUUCGAUGCAACGCGAAGAACCUUACCAAGGCUUGACAUACACCGGAAACGGCCAGAGAUGGUCGCCCCCUUGUGGUCGGUGUACAGGUGGUGCAUGGUUGUCGUCAGCUCGUGUCGUGAGAUGUUGGGUUAAGUCCCGCAACGAGCGCAACCCUCGUUCUAUGUUGCCAGCGGGUUAUGCCGGGGACUCAUAGGAGACUGCCGGGGUCAACUCGGAGGAAGGUGGGGAUGACGUCAAAUCAUCAUGCCCCUUAUGUCUUGGGCUUCACGCAUGCUACAAUGGCCGGUACAAAGGGCUGCGAUACCGUAAGGUGGAGCGAAUCCCAAAAAGCCGGUCUCAGUUCGGAUUGAGGUCUGCAACUCGACCUCAUGAAGUCGGAGUCGCUAGUAAUCGCAGAUCAGCAACGCUGCGGUGAAUACGUUCCCGGGCCUUGUACACACCGCCCGUCAAGUCAUGAAAGUCGGUAACACCCGAAGCCGGUGGCCUAA
rnacentral:rRNA from 1 species